GAAAACCACAUUAAAUAAUCAUUUGAAAAUGAGAAAAUGAGUUUACAUGGCAGAAGGAGUGCCAUUAAUCUUUAAGUGAAAGUUACCAAGAUAAUGAGAAAAGUUUGAUGUUAGAAAUUCCUAGUCAAAUCUGAGAAGGUGACUUAGGACAAAGGAAACAAUUAAGGUAGUUCACCACUUUACUAAGAUGAAGUGGGUGAAAGAAUGUUGUUAGGUCCUAAACUGGUCCAACAGAUGAUUGAGAAAGUCGACCACAUCAAACAAAGAAUCAAAGAAGCUCAAGAUAGACAAAAGUCUUACGCCGAUAAACGCCGAUCGGAAUUAGAAUUCAAUGUUGGGGAUCGAGUUUUCCUCAAAGUUUCUUCCUCAAAUGGAGUUAUACGUUUCAGAAAGAGGGGCAAGUUACGACCCCGUUAUAUAGGACUUUUUGAGAUCUUAGAUAAGAUAGGCCCUGUAGCCUAUAGGUUGGCAUUGCCACCUAGUAUUGGAGACGUGCACAAUGUGUUUCAUGUCUCUCAGUUAAGAAAGUAUGUGUUUAAUCCUAAGAGUUUGAUUAAGCAAGAUAAAGUAGUCCUAGCCAGGACCUAAGUUGUGAAGAGAAAUCAGUCCAGAUACUUGAUCGCAAGAUUCAAGUUUUACGAGGCAAUGAUAUUGUUCUCGUCAUGUAGUGGAACCAUCACAGGAUGGAAAAGGCCACAAAAGAGAUGAAUGAAACGAAUGACUAGUAUCACAAGAUAGAAUAUCAGAUAUGCAAUUCCGAGGACGGAAUUUUUAUAAGGAGGGAGGAAUGUAAUACCCCGUUUCCCUGAGUUAAAUUUAGAAUUUAUUUUCAAAAUUUAGAAGUAAGAUGAUUCACGCCGGAUAUAAAGAAAAUGAAUUUAUUUUAAUUCCAACAAACGAUUUGCAAAAUCCUCUUUGUAAAUGUUAGUCAUUUAAAUUCUUAUGCAUUUCAUAUUUAUUUAAAUUGAAUAUUAAGCAUUUAACAUCUACACGAGCUAUUUAUUUAAGCAAACACUGAACGAUUAUUACAGUUUUCAUAAUACAACCCGGAAGACCUUAUUUUAUAUUACUCUCCCACCUACUUCCUUCCACCUACUCCCUCUCACACCCACCUACUCCCUUCUUUUUGCAAACUUAAUAUAGCUGGUUGAUCCGAGCUUCCAUUUUCUAUCCUCCACAAUCAUCCCACACAUUUCAUCUCCCUCAUCAAUUUUCAGCACAUCAGCUACUGAACAAAUUCAGAAGAUUUGCAGAAUGAUAACCCAACAGAUUUCUUUUGAAGGCUUUGUGGACCAAGGGGAUUAGCGCUGCUUUCCCAAGACAGGUUAUGUGAUUAUGAUCUUCAGGCUUUGCCUAAUCAGGUUGAGCAGUUGAUGGAAUGGAAUGAUGUUGAGCGGGUGUUCCUUUGACAUUUCAAGAAAUGUAACCUUGAGUAUACAUCUUCAUAUGUAUAUCUCACACGUUUUCCGCUGCAAAACACUUUGAUUAGGAUAACUUUAUGUUAUGAAAUUGUGACACGUGUUAUUGGGUAAACCACCUUAAUCAGUUCUCAUUUAUGUGUAUGUUUUAUAAGUAUCCAAAUAAUCAUAUAUGAUCCUAGCAUUUUAUCUAUGAGUGACAUUUCCAUAUACUUUAAUGUUAA